AGAGGUGGCGAGCGUUGUUCGGAUUUACUGGGCGUAAAGGGUGCGUAGGUGGUUUUGUAUGUCGGAUGUGAAAGCCCGUGGGCUCAACUGCGGAAUUGCAUUCGAAACUGCGGAACUUGAGUGCAGGAGGGGAGAGCGGAAUUCUUGGUGUAGCGGUGAAAUGCGUUGAUAUCAAGAGGAACACCGGUGGCGAAGGCGGCUCUCUGGAAUGUUACUGACACUGAGGCACGAAAGCUGGGGGAGCGAACAGGAUUAGAUACCCUGGUAGUCCCAGCCGUAAACGGUGCGCACUUGGUGUGGAGAGAUUUAACCCUCUCCGUGCCGGAGCUAACGCGUUAAGUGCGCCGCCUGGGGAGUACGGCCGCAAGGCUA
rnacentral:rRNA from 1 species